AAUCUUCUUCGGAAGAUGAGUGGCGAACGGGUGAGUAAUACAUAGGUAACCUGCCCCUGUGCGGGGGAUAACAGGAGGAAACUCCUGCUAAUACCGCAUAGCCAUGAGCACCGCAUGGAGCUCAUGCCAAAUAUCCUUUCGGGGAUAGCGCAGGGAUGGACCUAUGGCGCAUUAGCUAGUUGGCGGGGCAACGGCCCACCAAGGCAACGAUGCGUAGCCGGCCUGAGAGGGCGGACGGCCACAUUGGGACUGAGACACGGCCCAGACUCCUACGGGAGGCAGCAGUAGGGAAUUUUCGGCAAUGGGGGAAACCCUGACCGAGCAACGCCGCGUGAGCGAAGAAGGCCUUCGGGUCGUAAAGCUCUGUUGUAAAGGAAGAACGGCGCAUACAGGAAAUGGUAUGCGAGUGACGGUACUUUACCAGAAAGCCACGGCUAACUACGUGCCAGCAGCCGCGGUAAUACGUAGGUGGCGAGCGUUAUCCGGAAUCAUUGGGCGUAAAGAGGGAGCAGGCGGCCGCAAGGGUCUGUGGUGAAAGACCGAAGCUAAACUUCGGUAAGCCAUGGAAACCGGGCGGCUAGAGUGCGGAAGAGGAUCGUGGAAUUCCAUGUGUAGCGGUGAAAUGCGUAGAUAUAUGGAGGAACACCAGUGGCGAAGGCGACGGUCUGGGCCGCAACUGACGCUCAUUCCCGAAAGCGUGGGGAGCAAAUAGGAUUAGAUACCCUAGUAGUCCACGCCGUAAACGAUGAGUACUAAGUGUCGGGGGUCAAACCCCGGUGCUGCAGUCAACGCAAUAAGUGACCCGCCUGAGUAGUACGUUCGCAAGAAUGAAACUCAAAGGAAUUGACGGGGG
rnacentral:rRNA from 1 species